rnacentral:tRNA from 1 species
GCGGGAGUAGCUCAGCGGCAGAGCACCGGGUUGUGGUCCCGGGGGUCGUGGGUUCGAACCCCAUCUCUCGCCCCA